UACGAAGGGGGCUAGCGUUGUUCGGAUUUACUGGGCGUAAAGCGCACGUAGGCGGAUCGUUAAGUCGGGGGUGAAAUCCUGGAGCUCAACUCCAGAACUGCCUUCGAUACUGGCGAUCUAGAGUCCGGAAGAGGUGAGUGGAACUCCUAGUGUAGAGGUGGAAUUCGUAGAUAUUAGGAAGAACACCAGUGGCGAAGGCGGCUCACUGGUCCGGUACUGACGCUGAGGUGCGAAAGCGUGGGGAGCAAACGGG
rnacentral:rRNA from 1 species